rnacentral:tRNA from 1 species
GGAGAGUGUCUGGUUGGUCGAAGAAGCUGUCUUGAAAACAGUUGGCCCAAAAGGUUCGGGGGUUCGAAUCCCUCGCUCUCCGCCA